rnacentral:rRNA from 1 species
GACUUCUGGUUUAAUGCGCCUGGCCCGCGGCCUUUUAGGCCUGUGAGUGCCGGUGCGCGUUUACCAUCCUUCUAGGAAACGAGUCUUCCCUUAACUGGGCCGGGAUCUAGAUCAUUUACUUUGAAAAAAUUAGAGUGUUUAAAGCAGGCUUAUGCUAUGAAUACAUUAGCAUGGAAUAAUAAUCUAGGACUUCGGUUCUAUUUUGUUGGUUUCUAUAACUGAAGUAAUGAUUGAUAGGGAUAGUUGGGGGUGCUAGUAUUGGCCGGUCAGAGGUGAAAUUCUUGGAUUCGGUCAAGACUAACUUAUGCGAAAGCAUU